rnacentral:rRNA from 1 species
UUGUUGCCUCGGCGGAUCAGCCCGCUCCCGGUAAAACGGGACGGCCCGCCAGAGGACCCCUAAACUCUGUUUCUAUAUGUAACUUCUGAGUAAAACCAUAAAUAAAUCAAAACUUUCAACAACGGAUCUCUUGGUUCUGGCAUCGAUGAAGAACGCAGCAAAAUGCGAUAAGUAAUGUGAAUUGCAGAAUUCAGUGAAUCAUCGAAUCUUUGAACGCACAUUGCGCCCGCCAGUAUUCUGGCGGCAUGCCUGUUCGAGCGUCAUUUCAACCCUCAAGCACAGCUUGGUGUUGGGACUCGCGUUAAUUCGCGUUCCCCAAAUUGAUUGGCGGUCACGUCGAGCUUCCAUAGCGUAGUAGUAAAACCCUCGUUACUGGUAAUCGUCGCGGCCACGCCGUUAAACCCCAACUUCUGAAUGUUGACCUCGGAUCAGGUAGGAAUACCCGCUGAACUUAAGC